CCCUUAGAUGUUCUGGGCCGCACGCGUGCUACACUGAUGCAUUCAACGAGUCUAAAACCUGGUCUGAUAGGGCUGGGUAAUCUUUUGAAAGUGCAUCGUGAUUGGGAUAGAUGAUUGCAAUUCUUCAUCUUCAACGAGGAAUGCCUAGUAAACGCGAGUCAUCAGCUUGCAUUGAUUACGUCCCUGCCCUUUGUACACACCGCCCGUCGCUCCUACCGAUUGAAUGAUCCGAUGAAUACCAUGGAUUGAGAGUACGAAUAGGUUCGCUUAUUUCUGCUGCUCGAGAAGUGGAGUAAAUCUUAUCAUUUAGAGGAAGGAGAAGUCGUAACA
rnacentral:rRNA from 1 species